ACGGUCAGAGAAGAGGAAGCCAUUUUGGGAUGCUAUUAUUUAACGGUGGUUAUUGAAUUCUUGGCCAAUGCUCUUUUUAGUUUGCUUCCUCAAAUCAUCUGGGGUGCAGUUGGGCCAGUUAAUCUUGAAAAUAUCGUCCCACGCCUUCAUUACCGUGCCUAUUCAUUCGUGUUUACAACUGAAGAAUUGCUUUCCUAUGUGAUGAAGGUCCAGAUGAUGACAUUUUGUGGUUUCGCAGAAAAUUGGGAUCCCACAAAGUCUUCAUCAAUUCUCUGACAUAUUUGGUUAAUCCAUAAGACGCUCUUUCAUUGUAUGGUGUAUUCCUGGUUUUUCUUAAGUGGACCUUCCGUUUCAGAAUUUCUUCAUCUACAUUGUGCUGUAGCUUGCUGAGUUCAUUGCGAUCAAAUGCCAAAUGCUUUUGGACCUAAAUCCAGAGAAAAACAAAAAAUUUAUAUAGAGUGUUAUCCAACAAACUGGUUUUAUCAACGGGGUUGAUUGUUUUUAACUUUUUUCCCUAAUAGUGUGGUAAUCCAAUAGUGUAUCCAAUAUUAGUCUUACAAAUAUUCUAUCGACUAAACUUAUCCUCAACUUACUUUGUUCCCAGUUUUUUCAGUAGGAACAAAAUCAGAGUCACUACUUAGAUCGUUAUCUGCUGCCAGGCUGGUUUCCCUCAGUCUCUUACCCUUUAUAAUGAGAGAGGAGUAUCAGAACUGUUAUCGCUCCAUAUAGAUUUAUAAUGUGAUGUUCCAGGAGCAGUUUCAUCAUCACAGCGUAUCUCAUCAUACUCUGGAUUAUAUUCAUAUGGUGGAGAAAGCGAGUUACUUUGCUUAGAUGAAGAAGAAUCAGUGUCUGAAGAGUCUGAAGACGCAUAUUGUUUUGGUUUGUCCUUUUUGUUUUUUUCUAGCUGUUUAGUCUGAAUCUGUUUAGUUUUUUUAGCAGCUGCCUUCUUUUUGGACUCCCUCAAUUCAUUCACGGCUUGGUCACCUCGUUUCUUCAUAGCCUUUGAAAAAGAAUUCAUUCAUAUACGUCAGCUUCCUUUAUUUUGGAUUCUUUCAGGUUGUUCACGAUUUUUUCACUCUCUCUCACGAGUUGGUCACCUCUUUUCUUCAUAGACUUGAAAAAGAAUUCAUUCAUAUACGUCAGCUUCCUUAAUUUUGGAUUCUUCCAGGUUGUUCACGAUUAUUUCACCUUGUGCCAUCACAUUCUUUGAAAAAGAAUUCAUUCAUUUAAGAAUCUGAUUUUUUCAAGUACAUCUACCUUCAUUUCGGACUCUUUCAAGUCAUUCACUAAUUGUUCAUCUCUUUCCUUUAUAUUCUUUGGAAAGAAAUUCAUUGAUUUACGUCAGCUACCUUCUUUUUGGACUCCCUCAAUUCAUUCACGACUUGGUCACCUCUUUUCUUCAUAGUCUUGAAAAAGAAUUCAUUCAUAUACGUCAGCUUCCUUAAUUCUGGAUUCUUUUAGGUUGUUCACGAUUUUUUCACCUUGUGCCUUCAAAUCCUUUUAAAAAAAAUUGGUUUAAGUUUACUAAUUAACCUAAUCAUUGUUACCUCAUAUUUCGUUUUUAGAUUGAUAGUUAGAUCCCUAAUCUUACUAUCCCUCAACUGUAAUAAAGCAUUCAAGUUUACAAUAGUCAUUUCCAGGUUGACUAUCUUCGUCGUUGCAUCAUUUAGAUUCUUCAAAGUAUCUUCGCUUACUUUCUAUAAGUAUUGGCAUCAUUCAGGAUCUUUAAAUCAUCUUCGUGCAUUUGCUUUGAGAUUUUAGAUCUGCUAAUUGGGUUUUCAGAGAUGGAAGUUUUUCUUUUGUCGCUGGUGGUAGACUUGGGGCCAGUUCAGCGUGAGAUGAAUUUGAUCUUGUCACUCUUUUUCCGUUAUCCAUUUUAAUACCAAACUAUUUUAACCUUCACUUCAAAAUCUUAAGACACUUAGACUUAUUAAACUUUCCUUUGAGACCAAAAUUGAAAAGAAUUAGAGAUAGACGCUCUUUGACUCCUACAGUCCUACUAAACUUCAGGGCUACUGCCUAUUACCGCAUUUGGCCUAUUGCCGCCUUGCCGCAUUUGGCCUAUUGCCGGCUUGCCGCAUUUGGGCUAGUAAAAAUUCUUCAUGUAGCUAGCAAAGGCUUUAUUAUCCCACCCUCCAUGAGUACCAUACUAACUAGUAAAGUCCUCUUGUCAUCACAAGCUAAACUCCUGUCUAAUGGGCUAGUAAAGAUUUUUACGUAGAUAGUAAAUCUUGAAACAAUUGAAAUUAUUGAAGCUACUAUUGCAUUAUGGCAGAUGUUUAUUUUCAUCAAGAUUACUGUCAACUUUUAAUUAAUCCUUCUUUUACUUGCUUGUUUACCAUUGGAUGAGAGGUUUGCUUCGUAAAGUGUACUAGUAGAUGUUGAUUGGGGCACAUAUCCAUCAGCAUUCAUUUUGGCUGCUACUUUCAUGAAUUUUUUGAACCCAUCUAGUCUUUUCCACUUUUGGCGCAACAUGUAUGUGGCCAUAUGGCCUAGCAUGUGGUGUGGUGAUCUAGAUUUAGGAAUAUCCAUUUUGACUAAAUUCCACAAACCUUUUUCAUAUAAUUGUUGUUUUUAGGCUAAAAUAAUUAUAGGUUACGUAACAGUUACUCACCUUCCACUGUAUUUGUAUGAGCUCCUGUUAUGGGAUCCUUAAAAUUCUUCGAGUGAUUAACAGUUUGAUGCUGGUAGUCUCUGUUCAUAUCCCUUGUAAAGUUUUUACACAAUUAAGAAAAAAUACACAAAGUAAUGAAUUUCA